CCCACCAAAAAUAAUUAUAUAGUUAUCCUUGGGCGAUCUUGAAUCUUAAUUAGUACACUCAUGUUCCCUGUGGAAAAUUGAUACUCUGGAAUACUCCCGGGUGAAGGCUACAUCGGUAUCCGUGCACUUGUGGAUUUUUCUGUUUGCGAUUAAAGUACCCAACAAGCUUUCUGGCGCCGUUGCCGGGGAGUAGUAGCUGUGCUAGUUUCGAAUCAAGUCAUCCGUGUAUCCUUUUUCUUUUCCUUUUUUUUACCACACUCACCUUACCAUUUUCACCAUACCACAUGGAUUUCACUCCAAACAUUAAUGAGCAUGGAAUUUAUUUCAUAGCCACUUCAUUUACUCCAUGCUCAUAUGUAAUAUCUUCACAAUCCAUUGGUCUCUCCAACAUCACGACAUUCGAGAUCUCCAACCCCCUCUUCCUUUCUAUUUAUAAAAACUUUAAAAGGGCGCUUGUCGAUGCAUAUGUCUAUAAUAAAUAUUGCAGAUCUCGUUGAGUUGAUCUUGAUAUAGGUUAGCGU
rnacentral:lncRNA from 1 species